rnacentral:rRNA from 1 species
UACGAAGGGGGCUAGCGUUGCUCGGAAUCACUGGGACGUAAAGCGCACGUAGGCGGAUUGUUAAGUCAGGGGUGAAAUCCUGGAGCUCAACUCCAGAACUGCCUUUGAUACUGGCGAUCUCGAGUCCGGGAGAGGUGAGUGGAACUGCGAGUGUAGAGGUGAAAUUCGUAGAUAUUCGCAAGAACACCAGUGGCGAAGGCGGCUCACUGGCCCGGUACUGACGCUGAGGUGCGAAAGCGUGGGGAGCAAACGGG